rnacentral:rRNA from 1 species
GCAGUAGCCGCGGGAAUACGUAGGGUGCAAGCGUUAAUCGGAAUUACUGGGCGUAAAGCGUGCGCAGGCGGUUAUAUAAGACAGAUGUGAAAUCCCCGGGCUCAACCUGGGAACUGCAUUUGUGACUGUAUAGCUAGAGUACGGCAGAGGGGGAUGGAAUUCCGCGUGUAGCAGUGAAAUGCGUAGAUAUGCGGAGGAACACCGAUGGCGAAGGCAAUCCCCUGGGCCUGUACUGACGCUCAUGCACGAAAGCGUGGGGAGCAAACAGGAUUAGAUACCCGAGUAGUCCCUGUCUCUUAUAC